GGAAUUUUGGACAAUGGGCGAAAGCCUGAUCCAGCAAUGCCGCGUGCAGGAUGAAGGCCUUCGGGUUGUAAACUGCUUUUGUACGGAACGAAAAGUCUCGGGAUAAUACCCUGGGACCAUGACGGUACCGUAAGAAUAAGCACCGGCUAACUACGUGCCAGCAGCCGCGGUAAUACGUAGGGUGCAAGCGUUAAUCGGAAUUACUGGGCGUAAAGCGUGCGCAGGCGGUUAUAUAAGACAGAUGUGAAAUCCCCGGGCUCAACCUGGGAACUGCAUUUGUGACUGUAUAGCUAGAGUACGGUAGAGGGGGAUGGAAUUCCGCGUGUAGCAGUGAAAUGCGUAGAUAUGCGGAGGAACACCGAUGGCGAAGGCAAUCCCCUGGACCUGUACUGACGCUCAUGCACGAAAGCGUGGGGAGCAAACAGGAUUAGAUACCCGGG
rnacentral:rRNA from 1 species